rnacentral:rRNA from 1 species
GGUAAUUUAGUGGAAUAUUCAUGAUUAAUGGAUCACACACCUACUCAUCAGUAUUUAAUGUAUAAGAAGAGUUUAUCUUAUCUCCCCGUCACCCCAACCAAACAAUUUUAAUUUAAACCUUAACUCUUCCUAAAUUUAUUCAUUACUUAUUAUUGUCAAACUCUAUAGGGUCUUCUCGUCCUCCAACCCCAUUUUAGCCUUUUAACUAAAAAGUUAAGUUUUAACUCAAUCCUUAUGAGACAGUCAACACCUCGUCCAACCAUUCAUACCAGCCUCUAAUUAAGAGACUAAUGAUUAUGCUACCUUUGCACGGUCAAAAUACCGCGGCCCUUCAAUUAUUCAGUGGGCAGGCUAGACCUCUUAUACUCCCAAGAAGCG